rnacentral:lncRNA from 10 species
UCCCACAGGGGAUUUGAACGUGCAGCAGCCUUGCAAAUGAGCCACACCCCGUCACAAGUCCUGUGAGGAAGUCAGGGAACUCUCCUCUGUUAGCCCAAGUGGCGCCAUCAAGUAAACCCCUGCCAUUUUGUACACCCUGAUCAGGGAGGAAACUUCCAUAGGGGCUCAGGCCAUGAAAAGCAUUUUGCCAAGCAGAUCCCAGGCCACACUGCCUGACUGCAGGAAAUGGCUCCCUUAUUACAUCCUGCCAGGCAGCUAGCCACACUGCCCCACCUCCCCUGUCCAGACCUAUAAUUGCCCCAGUCUGUACGCAGGACGGGGGCUCCAGCACUCGCUGGUGUUCCCCUUCCACAGGUUUCUCUGUCCAAUAAACCUAUGUUGCUGUCGA